GCUACGGCCAUAUCAGCCUGGGUACUCCCGAUCUCGUCUGAUCUCGGAAGCUAAGCAGGGUCGGGCCUGGUUAGUACUUGGAUGGGAGACCGCCUGGGAAUACCAGGUGCUGUAAGCA
rnacentral:rRNA from 1 species